GUAAUAAUUGUUUCUGCUUGAUUUGCUAAAUUCUAUGAUGGCUAAGGAACUUUUUUUCUGACUUUUUUAGGGUUUUAUGGUGGCCAAACUGUAGUCUAUAGUCUUUGCCUUCCACUUCCGAGACUGGUCCGAUGUUGCAGGAAAUUCCGCCAGAUGCACGUAUUUUCCGUUUCCUUCC